rnacentral:rRNA from 1 species
UGGGGAAUCUUGCGCAAUGGGGGAAACCCUGACGCAGCAACGCCGCGUGGGUGAUGAAGGCCUUCGGGUCGUAAAGCCCUGUCAGGUGGGAAGAAACUUGUGGAUGUUAAUACCAUCCGCACUUGACGGUACCACCGGAGGAAGCACCGGCUAACUCCGUGCCAGCAGCCGCGGUAAUACGGAGGGUGCAAGCGUUGUUCGGAAUUAUUGGGCGUAAAGCGCGUGUAGGUGGUCAGGUAAGUCAGAUGUGAAAGCCUUCUGCUUAACAGAAGAAGUGCAUUUGAAACUGCUUGGCUAGAGUACGGGAGAGGAGAGUGGAAUUCCCGGUGUAGAGGUGAAAUUCGUAGAUAUCGGGAGGAACACCAGUGGCGAAGGCGGCUCUCUGGUCCGAUACUGACGCUGAGACGCGAAAGCGUGGGGAGCAAACAGG